rnacentral:rRNA from 1 species
AUUGAACGCUGGCGGCAGGCCUAACACAUGCAAGUCGAGCGGAUGAAGGGAGCUUGCUCCUGGAUUCAGCGGCGGACGGGUGAGUAAUGCCUAGGAAUCUGCCUGGUAGUGGGGGAUAACGUCCGGAAACGGGCGCUAAUACCGCAUACGUCCUGCGGGAGAAAGUGGGGGAUCUUCGGACCUCACGCUAUCAGAUGAGCCUAGGUCGGAUUCGCUAGUUGGUGGGGUAAAGGCCUACCAAGGCGACGAUCCGUAACUGGUCUGAGAGGAUGAUCAGUCACACUGGAUCUGAGACACGGUCCAGCCUCCUACGUGAGGCAGCAGGGGGUAAUAUUGGACAAUGGGCGAAAGCCUGAUCCAGCCAUGCCGCGUGUGUGAAGAAGGUCUUCGGAUUGUAAAGCACUUUAAGUUGGGAGGAAGGGCAGUAAGUUAAUACCUUGCUGUUUUGACGUUACCAACAGAAUAAGCACCGGCUAACCUCUU